rnacentral:rRNA from 1 species
AACGUAGGAGGCGAGCGUUAUCCGGAUUUACUGGGUGUAAAGCGUGUGCAGGCGGACGGUCAAGUGGUGCGUGAAAGCGCCCGGCUCAACCGGGCGAGGACGGGCUAAACUGACCGACUAGAGGUAGGUAGAGGCGUGUGGAAUUCCGGGUGUAGUGGUGAAAUGCGUAGAGAUCCGGAGGAACACCAGAGGCGAAGGCGACACGCUGGGCCUGACCUGACGCUCAGACACGAAAGCAUGGGGAGCGAACGGG